CUUUUUGGGACGCGGAGGACAUUACUGA
rnacentral:rRNA from 1 species